ACACUUACUUGGCAGGGCAAAUGCUUUAUGGUCACCAAAGUGGUUCAUCCUAAAGCUGAGGCUCAUCCGUUGCACUCCUGAUACGCUGUUUUCUGUUAUUUCCCCUAAUGUGGGAAGCUCCGCUGUAUAACUUGUAGUAAUGACUCAGAAGUUAA
ensembl:snRNA U1 U1 spliceosomal RNA